rnacentral:misc_RNA from 1 species
GUGAAUCAUCGAAUUUUUGAACGCAAAUUGCACUCUCCUCGGAGAGUAUGCCUGUUUGAGGGUCAGACUAUAAAAAUCGACAUCUUUGCUGUUUCGCGGUGGCGUUCGUCGGAAAGUGAGUCAUCUUAAAUCCUUUGGAUUUAAGCGACUUAAAAUUAUCCUUUGAUUCCAUAAACGGUUCUAAGAUCUAUUUCUUUACACGUUGAAGUUAUCGAUUUUUACCAGACGUGACCAUCAUAUCAGAUAGAGUCAAUAAUCUUUCAUA